rnacentral:lncRNA from 1 species
AGCGUGCCUUCCUUCCUUCAUCUUCCCUCUUGAGAACCGGUGAUGCUCCUGAUGACAUCAGGGGAAAGAUUUCCAUGGAUUUCCAUAGAGUGUGAAGGUCCGUCUGUGUUUUCCACUGCAAGUUACGAAACCAGCACUUUCCUUCUCCUGGAGAGGGUGAUUUUGUCUAAGAUCUCCAAAGCGGAGUGAGCCACAAGGCUAUCUGUAGGCAUGCAGCUCUACCAACUCACGAGGAAUUCAGCAGGGGAAGACGAGGCACGUGCUUGAUGGUAUGUCAGUCCCAGCAUGAUGGAGAGCUUCCCAUGGGAUCACACCAGAGCUAAUGUUAGUGAGCACGGCUGUACUCGGGGACCAGCUUCGUGGGGGAGCAGAGGAAAGGUUGCUCCCUCCUGCACUGCACAGCAGCCCCAACCCAAGGUCCCGGAGAGAUUUAAGUUCUGAACUUGCAUCCAAGCCCAGUGUCUCUGCAGAAGGCAGAAGGAAAACCACACACCAGCACGCCAGCCUUGGGAGCAGGAGGACUCGGGGGCUCGGCGCCAUCCCCUGCCUGCUUGGGUUUGAUCUCCUGCUGCAACUGAGGCAUCCCAUAAAAGCUCUUCUUGAAUGGAGGCAACUGCCAGAGCCCAGUAAGCCUUACCUUUCCUUCCUCCGCCCUGAGUCAUCUGCAAUAAUCCUCCAGCUUCUGGCUGAAGGCACAAAAAAUAAAAUACAAUAAAAAAGAUAAAAGGGAGCAUGAAUCAACUUCUGUGGUAGCUGAGGCUUCAAAUAUGCCCGAAGAUCACUUAGAUUGCAUACUGCUUGGGCCAUGUGCCAUCCUUUUAUUGCUUAUCCAUGUACAGGAGAGUUUGCUGACAUUCUGUUAAAAUAUAUAUAUUUCUUUUGGCCAAAUUCAGAAAUAUUUUAGAAGAAAGCAAAAAGAUUUGAGCUAAAACUGAUUUUCCCCCCAAACUGCUUUUUUUUUUUUUUUUUUAAAAAUAAUUUUUUUUUCAAAAAGACAUGGAAGAAAGCAGAUAUUUUUUGAAUUCAAUAAAAAUAAUAUACUUCUGCUGAAAAACA